GGAAGGGUACAGCUCAAUAGUAGAGCCCCUGCCUAGCAUGCAUGAGAUCUGGGGUUCAAUCCCCAGUACCUCCA
rfam:Camelus ferus unplaced genomic scaffold scaffold1512, whole genome shotgun sequence.